rnacentral:rRNA from 1 species
AUGUGGAGCGCUUAGAAGUGAGAAUGCCGGUGUGAGUAGCGAAAGACGGGUGAGAAUCCCGUCCACCGAUUGACUAAGGUUUCCAGAGGAAGGCUCGUCCGCUCUGGGUUAGUCGGGUCCUAAGCUGAGGCCGACAGGCGUAGGCGAUGGAUAACAGGUUGAUAUUCCUGUACCACCUAUAAUCGUUUUAAUCGAUGGGGGGACGCAGUAGGAUAGGCGAAGCGUGCGAUUGGAUUGCACGUCUAAGCAGUAAGGCUGAGUAUUAGGCAAAUCCGGUACUCGUUAAGGCUGAGCUGU